rnacentral:rRNA from 1 species
AGAAUCAACGCUGGCGGCGUGCCUAACGCAUGCAAGUCGAACGCGAAAGGGGAGCAAUCCCUGAGUAGAGUGGCAAACGGGUGAGUAACACGUGGGUGACCUGCCUUCGAGUGGGGGAUAACGUCCCGAAAGGGACGCUAAUACCGCACGACAUCCUGCUCUUGGACGAGCGGAGAUCAAAGCUGGGGAUUCGCAAGAACCUGGCGCUUGAAGAGGGGCCCGCGCCUGAUUAGCUAGUUGGUGAGGUAACGGCUCACCAAGGCUACGAUC